CGGGUGGGUUAGCCGCAGCGAAAGCGAGUCUGAAUAGGGCGACCCACACGCGCAUACGCGCGUGUGAAUAGUGGCGUGUUCUGGACCCGAAGCGGAGUGAUCUACCCAUGGCCAGGGUGAAGCGCGGGUAAGACCGCGUGGAGGCCCGAACCCACUUAGGUUGAAGACUGAGGGGAUGAGCUGUGGGUAGGGGUGAAAGGCCAAUCAAACUCCGUGAUAGCUGGUUCUCCCCGAAAUGCAUUUAGGUGCAGCGUUGCGUGGUUCACCGCGGAGGUAGAGCUACUGGAUGGCCGAUGGGCCCUACUAGGUUACUGACGUCAGCCAAACUCCGAAUGCCGUGGUGUAAAGCGUGGCAGUGAGACGGCGGGGGAUAAGCUCCGUACGUCGAAAGGGAAACAGCCCAGAUCGCCGGCUAAGGCCCCCAAGCGUGUGCUAAGUGGGAAAGGAUGUGCAGUCGCAAAGACAACCAGGAGGUUGGCUUAGAAGCAGCCACCCUUGAAAGAGUGCGUAAUAGCUCACUGGUCAAGUGAUUGUGCGCCGAUAAUGUAGCGGGGCUCAAGCACACCGCCGAAGCCGCGGCACAUCCACCUUGUGGUGGGUGUGGGUAGGGGAGCGUCCCUCAUUCAGCGAAGCCACCGGGUGACCGGUGGUGGAGGGUGGGGGAGUGAGAAUGCAGGCAUGAGUAGCGACAAGGCAAGUGAGAACCUUGCCCGCCGAAAGACCAAGGGUUCCUGGGCCAGGCCAGUCCGCCCAGGGUGAGUCGGGACCUAAGGCGAGGCCGACAGGCGUAGUCGAUGGACAACGGGUUGAUAUUCCCGUACCCGUGUGUGGGCGCCCGUGACGAAUCAGCGGUACUAACCACCCAAAACCGGAUCGAUCACUCCCCUUCGGGGGUGUGGAGUUCUGGGGCUGCGUGGGAACUUCGCUGGUAGUAGUCAAGCGAAGGGGUGACGCAGGAAGGUAGCCGUACCAGUCAGUGGUAACACUGGGGCAAGCCGGUAGGGAGAGCGAUAGGCAAAUCCGUCGCUCACUAAUCCUGAGAGGUGACGCAUAGCCGGUUGAGGCGAAUUCGGUGAUCCUCUGCUGCCAAGAAAAGCCUCUAGCGAGCACACACACGGCCCGUACCCCAAACCGACACAGGUGGUCAGGUAGAGCAUACCAAGGCGUACGAGAUAACUAUGGUUAAGGAACUCGGCAAAAUGCCCCCGUAACUUCGGGAGAAGGGGGACCGGAAUAUCGUGAACACCCUUGCGGUGGGAGCGGGAUCCGGUCGCAGAAACCAGUGAGGAGCGACUGUUUACUAAAAACACAGGUCCGUGCGAAGUCGCAAGACGAUGUAUACGGACUGACGCCUGCCCGGUGCUGGAAGGUUAAGAGGACCCGUUAACCCGCAAGGGUGAAGCGGAGAAUUUAAGCCCCAGUAAACGGCGGUGGUAACUAUAACCAUCCUAAGGUAGCGAAAUUCCUUGUCGGGUAAGUUCCGACCUGCACGAAUGGCGUAACGACUUCUCAACUGUCUCAACCAUAGACUCGGCGAAAUUGCACUACGAGUAAAGAUGCUCGUUACGCGCGGCAGGACGAAAAGACCCCGGGACCUUCACUACAACUUGGUAUUGAUGUUCGGUACGGUUUGUGUAGGAUAGGUGGGAGACUGUGAAACCUCGACGCCAGUUGGGGCGGAGUCGUUGUUGAAAUACCACUCUGAUCGUAUUGGGCAUCUAACCUCGAACCCUGAAUCGGGUUUAGGGACAGUGCCUGGCGGGUAGUUUAACUGGGGCGGUUGCCUCCUAAAAUGUAACGGAGGCGCCCAAAGGUUCCCUCAACCUGGAC
rnacentral:rRNA from 1 species